AGUGGAAUUGCUGGGUCACAUGGUAAUUUUAUAUUUCACUUUUUGAGGAACGAUCAAGCUGUUUUCUAUAGUGACUGCUCCAUUUAUAUUCCCAUCAGCAAU
rnacentral:pre_miRNA from 1 species